rnacentral:lncRNA from 1 species
CUCAUGACUGGCUUGAUAGCUAUUGUAAUUUCAAAGCAGUGACGAGCAUAAAUGAUAUUUUGAGAUACCUGUAACCAUGGCAACACGAUACAGAAAUGCCUGUGAUUUCUAUUCGUGACAAAGUCACGGCAUUUCUUUUUUUUUUCUGUAUUCUGUAUAGAAUAGAAUUCUUUCCCUGACCAAGUGCACAGACCUCUUGAUUCUGUUCAGGCCUCUUGUGGGCUCCACUUUAGAAACCCCUGCACUUGGGCGGCUGUUUGUGGCACCAAGAGGGAGACAAAUUCCACAAAGGUCAAAAGAAAAGAAAAAGACUGAAAUGAUCAUAGGUUUGGAGAUGGGCACAAGAAGUGGAGGCGAAAAGUAAUGUGAGAGGUUGCCAGGAUGUGGAUAAAUUGAAUAAAAAGGGACAAUUUUUUGUCACUGCCUCUGCUGACAGGCGAGUAGGGACAAGUAUAGACCAUCCAGGAUACAGCCCGCCAGGAACAUGAAUUUGCAACGUGGCUCCGAAUGCGGACUCUGAAGUCUGACACACCUGGGUCUCCAUCCUAGCCCUGCCAUUUACCAGUGUGUGCUCUGCGCAUUCAUUCACUGCUCUCUGACUCCGUUUAUCUUAUUUAGCAGGAGUAAUAAGACCAUCACACGAAAUUGCUUUGAGGAUUAAAUGAGACGAUGUGUGUAAAAAGCUUGGUGCAGUGUCUGGGAUAUUUUUACUCGCCCUCCACCAAUAGUUCUAGCAAGAGUAUUGUGGUUUCUAUGGAGACCCACUUCCCAGAAGUAAACAAGGCUCCUUGCAGGUCACUAAGCGUCACUGAAACAUUGGGGUUGACUCACAUGUGGCCAGCAGAAGGCAGCAAACACCACACUAUAGCUGAAGAGGACAAGAGAAGGCAGUGGUGGAUGUGGAUGGAGAGACAGGUCAUCCCAGGAGCCAACAGGGUGUGUACUGGCUGUGCCCAACCGAGAAGCAUCCAACCUGGGACAUCCCGCUCUGCCCUCUUUCCUUCCACAAUGAGGUAAUAAUUGCCUUAUGCUAUUCUGUCCUGAAUAAUCUGGAAGGCUUUUGAACUAGUCACCUGUGAACAUAUAUAGAGAAAUCACCCCUAUUUUAUAGUGGUGGAGAGUCGGCAAUUGGUGUCACGAUCUAUCUCCCCAUCCUUUUGCAAUCCUUCUCUGAAACAUCCCAGAAAUGAGGUGUGAUUCAGUAGGAUGCCAGAACACUGGGCGCAAAAGAGGCAAGUCAAAGCAAGUAUUCGUUAAACUGUUUUUAAGGGGAGGUUCUUCCCUCCUCCGAGCCACUGAUUAACCUCAGAAUCAUUCGUGGAUCUGUAUCUUGAGGUUGGAGUGAUCUCCUUUCCUGUGCCCCUUAGACGCCCAACUAGAACAUGGAACUAGGGGCAGCCCCGGUGGCGCAGCGGUUUGGCUCCUGGAGACUCGGGAUAGAGUCCCACGUCAGGCUCCCAUGCAUGGAGCCUGCUUCUCCCUCUGCCUGUGUCUCUGCCUCUCUCUCUCUCUCUCUCUCUCUCUUUCUCUGUCUCUAUGAAUAAAUAAAUAAGAUCUUAAAAAAAAAAAAAGAAC